rnacentral:lncRNA from 1 species
GUGCUAUUAGAAGCAAUGACUACCGUCUUUCUGUUUGUUUGUUUGUAUGUAUAUUUGUUUGUUUAAAGAUCUCAUUUUACUUUAUGUGUAUGUGUGGUUUUGCUUGCAUGCCUAGGUGUACUGUAUGUGUGCUUGGAGCCCAAGGAAGUCAGAAGAGGGGGUUGGAACUAGAAAUGAAGUUACAGAUGGUUAUGUACCACCAUGUUGGUACAGGGAAUUGAACCCAGGGCCUCUGCAGAAGCAACAGUGCUCUUAACCUCUGAGCCAUUUCUAAUCUCCCUAUAGCUACUGUCUUUUUAAAAAUUGAUUUAAUAAAGGUUUUUUAUUUUAUUUUGUUUUGGAUUUUUAAGUCAGGGUUUCUCUGUGUAACAGCCCUGGCAGACCUGGUCCUCACUUUGUAGACCAGGCUGGCCUUGAGUUCAUAGAGAUCCACCUGUCUCUGCCUCCCAAGUGCUAGGAUUAAAGGCAUGUACCACCAUGCCUGGUUUAAUUAAGUUAUUUUUUCCAUGCACUUAUUUAUUGUGAGGGCCGGGUACUUGCCAAUGCAUCUGUGUGGCAGCCAGAGGACAGUCUACGGGCCCGAUCAUGGGGACCUGAUGAUGAUCGCCAGGCGUGGUGGCCAGCAUCUUUCCCUUCUGAACCUCCUCGGCUGCCCCAGUUAUUGCCUUUUAAAAAUAGCUUAUUUGACACAGGAUCUCACAUAGCUGAGGUUGACCUUGAACUUCUAGUCCUACUGUCCCAUGUGCUGGGAUUACAAGCAUCACCAAGGCCAUUUUUUUUUUUUAUGGUGCUGGGGAUCAAACCCUGGAUUUCAUGUAUGCUGGGUAAACACUCUACCAGCUGAGCUAAUUCACAUUCCUAACUAUUCUCUUAUUUAUCUAUUGCUCUGUAGCCAUACUAGAUAUUGCUGUUCUGUCCAGAGAAUGAGCAAGUUUAUCAAGCAGCAAGCAAGAGUAAAAGGACACCACGUAUCAGAGUCAGCAAAGCAUCAUCAAGCCGGAUGCAUACAGCAUCCAACAGAAAUCAGCCAGAAGCCCUGGGCUGCGUGGGCUCCUUACAGAGACGUCAGGCUGAGGAGCUCGAAAUGAAAUCGCUAAAAGAAAAGAAAAAAUUACCAGAAGACACCAAGAUGGCCUGUUGCUAUGGAGAAUGAAUGCCUCCAGCUGUGAACCCAACCAGGAGGCCGCAGCGGGGGCUGGUCACACUUACCUUCAGGAGCAUCCCAGCUUCACCAAGGAGAGGGUGCAUUGGAAGGAAGGGCAGCAUACGGAGGGGAUUGAUCUGGUUGCCAGCUCAUACAGAUGCUAGCAGAGUGGUUCUAACUCAGGGAGCAAAGGGGAGAGCUGGGCUGGGGUGGGGGAGGGGGGCACUUAGCUUCCCAAAGCCACGGGUUUCCUAGGCUGCUCUGGAGAGAAGUGGGUGGAAUAUUUCGGAGCAGGUUGGAGUGAGACCAUGUACACUCAUGUCUCCUCCCAGCCAUUUCGUAUGUCAACUGGGGUUUAUUACAUGCCAGACAUUGUGCUGGGGCAGUGGAUCUUUGAGAGACCUGACUGAAAUAGGGUUGAAAUUACACACCGCUGGAAAUCCAUCCCCUCUCUGUAGAACGGCAACUCUAUAAUGUGACUCCAGGUCUGUGUGUCAACAGUGGUACCCACAUGGCCUGUGCCACAUACUUAGAUGCGGGUGGUAACAGGAAAAUUGUGAAGAAGAGUGUCAAAAGCAUGUAUAUUUCUCUCUGCCUGAAUGUGUGUGUGUGUGUGUGUGUGUGUGUGUGUGUGUGUGAGAGAGAGAGAGAGAGAGAGAGAGAGAGAGAGAGAGAGAGAGAGAGAGNNNNNNNNNNGUAUAUCCUCAGAAGCCAUUCACCUUGAGGGUUUUGGGUUGGGUUGGGUUGGUUUGGUUGGUUGGCUGAUUUUGGUUUGUUUGUUUGUUCGUUUGAGACAGAUUUUCUCCAAGUAGGCUAGGCUGGCUGACCUCAGGACUUUACCUGUGCCGGCCUCCCACUGCUGGCAUCAUCAGCAUGUGCCGGCUUGGCUGACCUUUUCACCUGGUUGCUGGGGAUUAAAUUCAGGUCCUCAUGCUAAAGCAAGCUCUUAGUAAUAAGCUAUCUUCACAGUGCCUCUGUGCCUUUCCCUGCUGCUAGUGGCUCUCAUCAACUUUGCUUUUAUGCUUCUGACAGAGUAAUAAACUCAGUGCUCCAAGGUAUGCUAAUCA